rnacentral:lncRNA from 1 species
AUAACUAUGAAAACCUUCGGCAAUAACUUGUUUAUUAGCCCGCGCUCCCUAUGAGAGGUUCGGAGUUGAGUUCGGAAACCCGACUAAACUCUCCGAAUAGCGGCACGAAUAGACCUAUUCCAGUCCCACUUGAAGGGCUAAGGCCCGACCUCGGUGCCUUAAGAUUUUCCUAAAGGCCAAACGUGGCAACUCCCACGACUCUAAGAUCCGAGUUAUAGGACUUAGAGAAAUUUUCUAGAAACCUAAGCUCGGAGCUCCCUUUGGUCGAGACGACUGGAAUCCGAGAAGGCUAAGAUAUAGCCAGGGAAAAGGGCAGCUUCGUUAAGCAGCCCAAAG